rnacentral:sRNA from 1 species
UGUGUGUGUGUCACAGUGUGUACAUUUAUGUAUAGAUGAAUAUGUGCAUGGCCCCAUGGAAGCAGAAGUGUUUUCUUAUACAUAAUUAUGCUCGGUUUAAAGUGUUCAAAUCUCCCUUUAAAUAGGUUGAAAUGAAUUCUCAUCUGAAUUGAGAACUAUGGACCUAAAUGUCAAAAUAUAUUUAUUACACAACCAGAAUCGGGCAGAAUAUAUGGACAUCCUGGCAAAUGUCCGGUGGGCCAGCUCUAAAAAAAUACCAAAUCAUUUUUUAUUGUUAUUGCAAAGCAGACGACUUUUUCAAAGCAGACGACUUUUCAAAUAUUGACAGUAGGCUUUUGUAUAGACGUUACUUUUGUUUGAAAUUCAACUCUACUAUACAAUUGUACAAGGCCACUCCAUAUCAUGUGCAGAAUGUCAAGCCAUACUGUGCUAUUGUUAAUAAUGUACCAGAAGCAUUGUCUUCCACACUUAUGCAAUGUCUUCAAGAUUAUUGUUUGGCCGAAUCAUUUUUACAAACUUUCAUCAACUCACUCUGUCUGUUUGUCUGUCCGGUGAAAGGUUGUACACCUCAUUUCUCCCACACCCAAUUUCUGAAAUUGUGCGCAAUUAUAUCUUUUACCUUACAAAUCAAGAAUCCAUUAAAAAAAACAAUAAGUUAA